rnacentral:rRNA from 1 species
UACGUAGGGAGCAAGCGUUGUUCGGAUUUACUGGGCGUAAAGGGCGCGUAGGCGGCGUGGUAAGUCACUUGUGAAAUCUCUGAGCUUAACUCAGAACGGCCAAGUGAUACUGCUGUGCUAGAGUGCAGAAGGGGCAAUCGGAAUUCUUGGUGUAGCGGUGAAAUGCGUAGAUAUCAAGAGGAACACCUGAGGUGAAGACGGGUUGCUGGGCUGACACUGACGCUGAGGCGCGAAAGCGUGGGGAGCGAACCGG